UACGUAGGGACCGAGCGUUGUCCGGAAUCAUUGGGCGUAAAGAGCGUGUAGGCGGCCUUUUAAGUCCUGCGUGAAAUCCUGCGGCUCAACCGCAGACGGUCGUGGGAAACUGGAAGGCUAGAGUGCGGGAGAGGAGAGUGGAAUUCCCGGUGUAGCGGUGAAAUGCGUAGAUAUCUGCAGGAACACCCGUGGCGAAAGCGGCGCGCUGGACCACUACUGACGCUGAGGAACGAAAGCUAGGGGAGCAAACAGG
rnacentral:rRNA from 1 species